AGGGAAUCUUCCACAAUGGACGGAAGUCUGAUGGAGCAACGCCGCGUGAGUGAUGAAGGUUUUCGGAUCGUAAAACUCUGUUGUAAGGGAAGAGUAGAAGACGGUACCCCUUGAAUAAGCCACGGCUAACUACGUGCCAGCAGCCGCGGUAAUACGUAGGUGGCAAGCGUUGUCCGGAUUUACUGGGUGUAAAGGGCGUGUAGCCGGGAAGGUAAGUCAGAUGUGAAAUCUGGGGGCUCAACCUCCAAACUGCAUUUGAAACUACUUUUCUUGAGUAUCGGAGAGGUAAUCGGAAUUCCUUGUGUAGCGGUGAAAUGCGUAGAUAUAAGGAAGAACACCAGUGGCGAAGGCGGAUUACUGGACGACAACUGACGGUGAGGCGCGAAAGCGUGGGGAGCAAACA
rnacentral:rRNA from 1 species